CAUGCCUAUACAGUUAGACGCUGCGGAUAGCUUCGUCGAAAUUUACGCUAUAUCACAAAAGCAGUCUACCGAGUGCUUUUCUCAAAUCCGGGACAUUAGUAUUGUCGCGCGCGCCCGUCUAGAUCGAUCAUGGAGGCGGUGAGCACGAUCAUCAAGUUGGCGCAGCAGAUCGCUAAAGCGGCUGAGACCGCCCGCCGGAACAGGGACAUGUGCCGGCACCUCGCCGGCCGCGCGCUUACCAUCGGCAACAACCUCCGCGACUUCAAAGACGCAGCGGCCAGCGGCGACACGGCGUCCAGGCGGAGCGCGCUGGGCAGGCUCAAGACUGCCCUCGACGACGCGCUCAAGCUCGUCGAGUCCAGCCGCCGGCAGAGCCGCUGGCUUGCCUGGCUCUCCAGCGGCAGGACUGCCGCCAGGUUCCAGGACGUCGAUGGGAGAAUCACCGCCUGCGUCGUUGACCUCGGCCUCGUGGAGCUGCUCCACGCCGGCGCUCAAGGUCGUCCUCCCGCCAACACAAAAGCCGGCCAGUCGAAGAAGAAGGAGACGGACCGCAGCGGGAAGAAGAAGAAGAAAGACGGUCCCAAGAAUGGCGGCGCCGGCAAAAACAGCAACAAAGGCAAGAAGAAAGAGAUCGGUGCCAAAAAUGGCAACAAGAGUGGCGGCGCCGCAGCUAGCAACCAGAAGCAGAAGAAGAACGGCGGUGAGCAGCAAGGCUGGAACGGUAGCAGGCAGGUGAAAGGGAAGCCCGCGGCCGCACCGGCACCCCGGCGCUGCGCCGCGCACUCCAUGGAGGACGACCCCGGGUCUUGCUCCGUGAUGUGAUGUCAGUACUCAGUUCGUGCGUGAUCAAUCCAUAGCGCUCGGCGGGUGGCGCGCGGCGACAUGAGAUGCUGAAUCGUCCUGGCCGAUGGGCAUGGACCCGAGCCAUGGUUGGUCAAGCCCGUAAAGGAUUGCAGUACAAGACUGCUGCAGCUGGUGUCAACUGUCAAAUAGUAGUAGUGGUGUAGUACUCAAAUUGGAGGCUUCUGAUUUUUCCUGCUCUACCGGAGGAGAGCGGUGGAGCUCGGCACCGAGAUCGAGGCACGUGACAGAGCUUCUAGGAGACGGUUGCUACUUGCUGGAAUCGGGCAGCACAUGGCGGCUACACAGGCGGCCGGGAGAGUAUCAAGCUGCUAGGGCCUGCUGCCACUGGUUAGCUCUGUCGACGGGAGGCUGCAACACUUAAGCGGCCAUCAAGUUCCGAGGUACCUUGAGAUGGGUUGAAUUCAUCCAGGUUCAUUGAGAUGGGUUGAAUUCGAUUUUUUCCUACCGUACAUGCAUCUUGGUUUGAAACGAAGUGGAUUCUUUGUUUGUCAUACAAUUUUCCCGAACAGAUUCACGACAAGUAAAUACCACUGUAGAUGCCAAUCUGGAGGACGAUGCUCUGUUUUUGGGUCUGUACUUAGUGCCCUUUCAGAUUAGCACGAAAGCCAUGCGUGAAUCACUGCUGCAAUUUUUUUAACAUGUUUCAGUGACCUAAUGAUCAAUACAAAUUCAAUGCCAAUA